rnacentral:misc_RNA from 1 species
UUCCAUACAUGUCAGAUCGAUCGAUUUAUGAUAGUUAAUGUAUUAUCGUCGGAACCCGAACGUCAAUUGUCAGGACUGGUUUCAUUUGACAAAAUUAAUGGCAACAGAAUCGUGGAUUGAUACAAGGAAUUCAUAGAAGCAAAUUAUUUGAUACGAUGGAUUCUGGCAAAAAUAUUCCUGAUGCUGGGUACAAUGUGUCCGCUGGAAAGACAUACAUUGAUUCAAGCAAAUCUGGCAUGGGUUACCAACCGAGGAAGUCUCGCACACGUUUAAUCAUUAUUGGCGUUAUUGCUGCUGUCAUUAUCCUUUCUGUCGUCAUCGUAGUUGUUGUCGUUGUUGUCACGCAAACGAAACAUGAAGAGACACAGAAGAAAACAACAGAUGCUGAAGAUGAAACAACAGGUUGCGGACCUUACAACGUAACAUACUCUGAUAAAGCUGCAACUGUUAUAGUUUCAAGUGGGUCUUUGUUUUACCUGACUGGUUGCAAAAUAAGAGGCAACUGCUGGACAAGAAAACAGUGUUACGAUUGUCUUGAAGGCCCUAACAGGGAUAGAGUCGGGAAUCUUAACAAUAUUCCCGUGUGCUGUCCGCACUGUGCGAGAUACGGACUCUCACUAUCAUUUUCCAGCUGUAACUGUAAUAAUCAAAGCACUGAGACGUCUGAUUGGUUUGGGUAGAUUUAUUUCAUGUUUAAUGACAACUGUUAUGUACCUCAUUUCUUUCAUGAACAGUAAGGAUAAACCAGAGAGCAUCAGUGUUUACAUUUUGUCUGUUAAAAAUGCCAUGUCACCUGUGCCAAAUAUAACUUUAUAAUACCGGUGGAUGUUCCCCGAAAUAUUAAUGGAACAAAGUGGAAUUCACUGGCGAUGACGGAGCUAUUGUUUACUAAUGUUGAGUAAUCAAUGGGCAAAGGGCAGUAACUCAAUGAAAAAUAUUUCGACCAGAAACGUGAUCAAGACAAUAUGCGCAUAUCCUUUGUGAAUUUAGGGCACAUGAAGUUUUGAUGACUUCCAGAAAAUGGUUGCUGAGGAAUACUCAGCACAAGAAACUGUACUAUAGUAUACUAAUGGUUGAUAACCAAAGGGCAAUAACUCAGUGAAAAAUAAUCCGACUGAAACAAAAAGAUAUUUUGCUCUUCUCCUCUUAACAGUAAAGCUUCCUAUGAAUUUUAGCUAAAUUCAAACAAUGGUUGCUACAAGAAGUGUACCGUAGUAUACCAAUGUUGAAUAAUUAAAGUGAAAAAUCAUCUAACCAGAACAUAGAGACAAUAUACUCAUCUUUCCUGAAAAGUGAAGCUUCAUAUGAAGUUUUGCUAAAUUCAAAACAGUGGUUGCCGAGAAAUACUCCAGACAAGAGUUGUACUACAUUAUACUACUGUUGAAAAAUCAAAGGGCAACAAUUCUGUGAAAAAUCUAACCUAAACGCAAAGACAGUAUGUGCAUCUCCUCUCGAUGAUGAACCUUUCUAUGAAACAAAGCUAAAUUUUAAACAGUGAUGGCUGAGAAAUGCUUUAGACAAGAAGUGUACUAUAGUAAAGGACAAUAACUUGUAAAAAUAAGCCGACCUGAACACGAAGAUAACAGUGUGCAUCUCCUUUUAUUGAUACACCUUCCUAAGAAUUAUGGCUAAAUUCCAACCAGUAGUUGCUGAGAAAUAUUCCGGCCAAGAAUUGUACAACAGUAUACUACUGUUGAAUAAUCAAAAGUCAAUAACUCUGUGAAAAAAAUCAUUUGACCGGAAAACGAAGAUAAUAUGCGCAUCUCCUCUUGAUGAUGAAGCUUCGUAUGAAGUUUCACUAAAUUCCAACUUGUGGUUGCUGGGAAAUACUCCGGACAAGAAUGGUACUAUAGUAUACUAUUAUUGAAAAAUCAUCCAACCGGAACGCGAAGAUAAUAUGUGCAUUUCCCCUUAUGGAAGUAGGGCUAAAUUCCAAUCAGUAGUUGAUCUCAGAGAAAUACUUUGGACAAAAAUUGCACUAUAGUAUAUCACUGUUGAAUAAUUAAAGGGCACUAACUCUAUGAAAAAUCAUCUGACAGGAACAAGAAGACAAUAUGCGCAUCUCCGCUUGAUAGUGAAGCUUCCUAUGAAGCGGCGACUAUAUGCUUUCUUCGGAUAAAAUUACGAAGAUAGCGAACAGUUUACAUUAAAAUCAAAAAGAAAUCUUCACUGUGAAAUUGUGAAAUAUUAGCAUUCACAACCUUUUCUUCAUAAAUAUUUCUCUUGUAAAUUGCCCUGUUUGUAAUAUCCCUGAUAUUUUGGUUACACUCUAUUGGUGCCAAACUAUAAACAUACAUGUAUGAGAAACAAAUACAAAUGUGCCUCAAAUUUAUGAUGAACUCUGCCUGACCUUGCAUGAACUUGCAUAAAUUGCAAGCUGGAAAUCAGUGAUGUAAGCAUGGGCUUGAUAGCUCUUAUAUAAUGUAUAUGCUCAGUGUGAAUGAAUGCAGGUUAAAUUAGAACCGCUUGAUCAUUGCUAAUUCAUCCGCACUUUUCAUGAAAUCGGACUAUUUGUAUAGCACAUGAAAAUCAUUUUGAUGUGAUUAGGAAUAAAAUAAAGAUUUCAUGAUUGUCAGAAAUACACUUGUAACUACCGUAAGCUGGGCGCUUGACGAAGCCUUGAGACGGUACAGUGACCUAAAACAAACGUGUGAUGGUAUAGUAGACGCAACUUGACCCCGAUGGUUGACCUUUGCAUUAUAAUACAUAAUGAGGCACAACCUAUUAUUGAAAAGGCGUGUACGUAAAACACGAGCUGCACGAGA